UGAAAUUGCAAAAUGAUCAUGAGGUUCGGAAGUGAAGACUGGUUGAUUUGUGAUUAGGCUCUGCGUGCGUGAAGAAUGAAUGAAGGGAGCUUUCUGAUGUAGAAUGGAGGAUUGGUGCAGAACUGUGGAAAACUGAUGUAGAAGUAGAGGUUGAAGAAGACUUGUUGCAGAUUAAUCAAGAAACUGAGAGGGUGAAGAUCGAAUGAUUGGAGAUGGAGAUUGAAGAGUGAAAAAUGCAGAAUUUUCUUCCUCCUAUGAAUGCUUCAAUUAUGGAAUUCAUCUAAAGUUCACAUUAAAUUCAGAGUCAUGGUUGGAUUGAAGUUAUAUGGAAUGGCUAUUUGUGGAUUGAAGACGACCUGUUAGUGCAAGUUCUACUGCAAGUCGUAUGUUAUAAUCAAGUACUUGGCAAGUGUUUUGUUGCAGGAUUAUAGAGUGAAGUUAGAAGG